AUUGAACGCUGGCGGCAUGCCUUACACAUGCAAGUCGAACGGCAGCACGGGAGCAAUCCUGGUGGCGAGUGGCGAACGGGUGAGUAAUAUAUCGGAACGUGCCCAGUCGUGGGGAUAACGUAGCGAAAGCUACGCUAAUACCGCAUACGAUCUAUGGAUGAAAGCGGGGGAUCGCAAGACCUCGCGCGAUUGGAGCGGCCGAUAUCAGAUUAGGUAGUUGGUGAGGUAAAGGCUCACCAAGCCGACGAUCUGUAGCUGGUCUGAGAGGACGACCAGCCACACUGGGACUGAGACACGGCCCAGACUCCUACGGGAGGCAGCAGUGGGGAAUUUUGGACAAUGGNGCAAGCCUGAUCCAGCAAUGCCGCGUGCAGGAUGAAGGCCUU
rnacentral:rRNA from 1 species